rnacentral:tRNA from 1 species
GGGUCGUUAGCUCAGUUUCUCUUUGUUAAAUCAAUAGCUGCAGUUGGCUUUUAACCAAUUGGUUAAAGGUUCAGAUUCUUCACGACUCACCA